UAGAGUUUGAUCCUGGCUCAGAAUCAACGCUGGCGGCGUGCCUAACACAUGCAAGUCGAACGAGAAAGUGGAGCAAUCCAUGAGUAAAGUGGCGACCGGGUGAGUAACACGUGACUAACCUACCUCCGAGUGGGGAAUAACUCCGGGAAACCGGGGCUAAUACCGCAUAACAUCGUGAGAUCAAAGCAGCAAUGCGCUUGGAGAGGGGGUCGCGGCUGAUUAGCUAGUUGGUGAGGUAACGGCCCACCAAGGCUUUGACGGGUAGCUGGUCUGAGAGGACGACCAGCCACACUGGGACUGAGACACGGCCCGGACACCUACGGGUGGCAGCAGUCGAGAAUUUUUGACAAUGGGGGAAACCCUGAUCGAGCGACGCCGCGUGGAGGAUGAAGGUCUUCGGAUUGUAAACUCCUGUCAUUGGGGAACAAGUCGCUUACGUUAACUGCGUGAGCGUUGAUAGUACCCGAAGAGGAAGAGACGGCUAACUCUGUGCCAGCAGCCGCGGUAAUACCGAGGUCUUCAGCGUUGUUCGGAUUCUUUGGGCGUAAAGGGCGCCUAACGCAGGCCGCUUAUCUGAUGGUGAAAUCGUCGCAGAUUAUCGCAGAAGUACCCUCAUACCUACCAAUCCCAAGGCUCGGCCUACCACAGCGCACAUUACGUGAGCGAGAACGGCCGUCAGCAUCGCACCGGACGUACGACGAAGGGUAACGCGAGCCUUGACCAUCCACUGCCCGCGUUCGACGAGGGCGGGACGCUGUGCCCACAGCUCCGUAGAUGGGCGAGGUCAGCGGUUACGAGGCCGCGCUCGCACUGGCAGCAGGCACGACAUCUGGUUGUGCGGAUCCCAGGCUCUGCC
rnacentral:rRNA from 1 species